UAAUAUAUCGGAACGUACCCUGGAGUGGGGAUAACGUAGCGAAAGUUACGCUAAUACCGCAUACGAUCUAAGGAUGAAAGUGGGGGAUCGCAAGACCUCAUGCUCCUGGAGCGGCCGAUAUCUGAUUAGCUAGUUGGUAGGGUAAAAGCCUACCAAGGCAUCGAUCAGUAGCUGGUCUGAGAGGACGACCAGCCACACUGGAACUGAGACACGGUCCAG
rnacentral:rRNA from 1 species